rnacentral:lncRNA from 1 species
UCGGGGUAAUAUUGUACUGAGGGGUAACAGACAGGGUAACCAGUGCUUACAAUUGUUCCUUGUCCAUAUGCCGGGUCAUAUGCUGGCGUCAAUGGAUUGUAAGCAUGUCCCUGUCCAACCUGCCUACACAUGCUAUCACAGCUGUCUCAUCCAUCUAUGUGAGCAUGUAUGCCUAUUUCGCCUGUCUAUGUGUGCAUACAUAUGUGCAUGCCUCUCUAUAAACUUCCAUCCAUGCAUAUGCCUGUAUCGAGCUCACAUGUCUACACAUACAAACAUACAUUUAAGGCAGGCGGCUGGCAGAGGUUAAGGCCUGACUUCUGCUCCCAGUCGACCCAGUCGACCCGGAUUCAAAUCCGCCUGCCGGCUCCUCGGGUGUUUGAGGAGUGAUGAAAUGGGAGGUGGCCCCCCAUCAUAUGGACGGUGUAGGACGUGAUAAUAUCAACUUGCGAGCUGACCAGGAACUAAGUUGAUGCGCCGUUGAUCCGCUAGAUUUGGUUGGAUGCUGGUGGUGAGUUGCCGAACCCAACGAAUACAUUCUGAAGUCGGAUGGGGUGACGGAUUAGGGUGCCCCUCUAGCAGGGGAGAGCAGGGACUGCCCCGGGAAAGGGGGCCGCUGGCGAAGUUAACCACCCUGUAACAACAUACAUACAUGUUCACCAAACACUUUGAGUGUACAAUUGUAAAGAUUGCCUCACCAACACAAGCCUUGCAGGGUUGUAGAGCCCGCCCAUGGCCCCAGGCUUGGUGUGUGUAUAAACUCGCUAAUUACACCAACGUCAUCAUAUCAAGAGAAAGGAAAUCAGACCCAGCCAACAGAUUCAGUUCACUUAUGAUCUGAUGUACGGCUCCAUAC